rnacentral:rRNA from 1 species
GUAAGGAAUAUUGGACAAUGGACGCAAGUCUGAUCCAGCCAUGCCGCGUGAAGGAUUAAGGUCCUCUGGAUUGUAAACUUCUUUUAUAAGGGACGAAAAAAGGCUUUUCUAAGUCGUCUGACGGUACCUUAUGAAUAAGCACCGGCUAACUCCGUGCCAGCAGCCGCGGUAAUACGGAGGGUGCAAGCGUUAUCCGGAUUCACUGGGUUUAAAGGGUGUGUAGGCGGGCAGGUAAGUCAGUGGUGAAAUCCUAGAGCUUAACUCUAGAACUGCCAUUGAUACUAUCUGUCUUGAAUAUUGUGGAGGUAAGCGGAAUAUGUCAUGUAGCGGUGAAAUGCUUAGAUAUGACAUAGAACACCUAUUGCGAAGGCAGCUUACUACGCAUAUAUUGACGCUGAGGCACGAAAGCGUGGGGAUCAAACAGGAUUAGAAACCCUGGUAGUCC